AGAGUUUGAUUAUGGCUCAGGACGAACGCUGGCGGCGCGCCUAACACAUGCAAGUCGAACGGAGCUAUGUUGAAAGCUUGCUGGAUAUAUAGCUUAGUGGCGGACGGGUGAGUAACACGUGAGUAACCUGCCUUUCAGAGUGGAAUAACGUUUGGAAACGAACGCUAAUACCGCAUAAUGUCAGAGGACGGCAUCAUUCUUUGACCAAAGAUUUAUCGCUGAAAGAUGGGCUCGCGGCCGAUUAGGUAGUUGGUGAGAUAAUAGCCCACCAAGCCGACGAUCGGUAGCCGGACUGAGAGGUUGAACGGCCACAUUGGGACUGAGACACGGCCCAG
rnacentral:rRNA from 1 species